rnacentral:rRNA from 1 species
GACAGAGGGGGCGAGCGUUGUCCGGAGUGACUGGGCGUACAGCGCGCGCAGGCGGGUCGCGACGUGCCGUGUAACAGCGCACUGCUCACCAGUGCGUAGCCAUGGUAGACGCGCGGUCUGGAGGCCGUGAGAGGGAUGUGGAAUACCCAGUGGAGCGGUGAAAUGCGUAGAUAUCAGGAGGAACACCUGUGGCGAAAGCGGCUCACUGGACCACAACUGACGCUGAUGCACGAAAGCUAGGGGGAGCAAACAGG